AAUAAAGUGGCUGAGUGUUAGGCGGUAAAUUGUAAAUUUAUAAACGAAUGUAAAUAAUUCCUUUAUUA
rnacentral:tRNA from 1 species